rnacentral:rRNA from 1 species
AGUGCAUGUGGUGGAUGCCUUGGCGAUUACAGGCGAAGAAGGACGUACAAGCCUGCGAAAAGCUCUGGGGAGCUGGCAAUGAAGCUUUGAUCCAGAGAUGUCCGAAUGGGGAAACCCACUCCGCAAGGAGUAUCCCACGCUGAAUACAUAGGCGUGAGGAAGCGAACCCGGCGAACUGAAACAUCUCAGUAGCCGGAGGAACAGAAAUCAACCGAGAUUCCCAAAGUAGUGGCGAGCGAAAUGGGAACAGCCUGCAAGUGAUAGCGAUUGGGUUAGCGGAAGCCUCUGGAAAGUGGCGCCAUAGGGGGUGAUAGCCCCGUACGCGAAAACGUGAUCGUGGUACCAAGCUUGCGACAAGUAGGGCGGGGCACGAGAAAUCCUGUCUGAAUAUGGGGGGCCCAUCCUCCAAGGCUAAAUACUCGUAAUCGACCGAUAGUGAACCAGUACCGUGAGGGAAAGGCGAAAAGAACCCCGGGAGGGGAGUGAAAUAGAUCCUGAAACCGCAUGCAUACAAACAGUGGGAGCCCCUUUGUGGGGUGACUGCGUACCUUUUGUAUAAUGGGUCAGCGACUUACGUUCAGUAGCGAGCUUAACCGCAUAGGGGAGGCGUAGGGAAACCGAGUCCGAAUAGGGCGCCCAGUUGCUGGACGUAGACCCGAAACCAAGUGAUCUAUCCAUGGCCAGNNNNNNNNNNAAUAGGGGAGGCGUAGGGAAACCGAGUCUGAUAAGGGCGAUAGUUGCUGGACGUAGACCCGAAACCAAGUGAUCUAUCCAUGGCCAGGAUGAAGGUGCGGUAACACGCACUGGAGGUCCGAACCCACUAAUGUUGAAAAAUUAGGGGAUGAGCUGUGGAUAGGGGUGAAAGGCUAAACAAACUUGGAAAUAGCUGGUUCUCUCCGAAAACUAUUUAGGUAGUGCCUCAAGUAUCACCGACGGGGGUAAAGCACUGUUAUGGCUAGGGGGUCAUCGCGACUUACCAAACCAUUGCAAACUCAGAAUACCGUUGAGUGCGAGCUUGGGAGACAGACAUCGGGUGCUAACGUCCGGUGUCGAGAGGGAAACAACCCAGACCGCCGAUUAAGGUCCCCAAGCCAUAGUUAAGUGGGAAACGAGGUGGGAAGGCUCAGACAGCCAGGAGGUUGGCUUAGAAGCAGCCAUCCUUUAAAGAAAGCGUAAUAGCUCACUGGUCGAGUCGUCCUGCGCGGAAGAUGUAACGGGGCUCAAACUAUGCACCGAAAUCGCGGAUAUCCGCAAGGAUAUGGUAGGAGAGCGUUCUGUAAGCCGUUGAAGGUGUCCUGAGAAGGAUGCUGGAGGUAUCAGAAGUGCGAAUGCUGACAUGAGUAGCGAUAAAGGGAGUGAAAAGCUCCCUCGCCGAAAGCCCCAGGUUUCCUGCGCAACGUUCAUCGGCGCAGGGUGAGUCGGCCCCUAAGGCGAGGCUGAAAAGCGUAGUCGAUGGGAAACAGGUCAAUAUUCCUGUACCUCUUGGUAAUGCGAUGGGGGGACGGAGAAGGUUAGGUCAGCCGGGUGUUGGACGUCCCGGUUCAAGCGUGUAGGCAGGUCUCUUAGGCAAAUCCGGGAGAUCAAUGCUCAGGCGUGAUAACGAGUGGCUUUAUGCUGCGAAGUGAUUGAUACCCUGCUUCCAAGAAAAGCCUCUAAGCUUCAGUUACCAGGAGACCGUACCGCAAACCGACACAGGUGGGCAGGAUGAAAAUUCUCAGGCGCUUGAGAGAACUCAGGAGAAGGAACUCGGCAAAUUUGCACCGUAACUUCGGGAGAAGGUGCGCCCUGACAGGUUGUAGCCCCUCGCGGGUGAAGGCCGAAAGGGUUGCAGUGAAAUGGUGGCUGCGACUGUUUAAUAAAAACACAGCACUCUGCAAACACGAAAGUGGACGUAUAGGGUGUGACGCCUGCCCGGUGCCGGAAGGUUAAGUGAUGGGGUGCAAGCUCUUGAUCGAAGCCCCGGUAAACGGCGGCCGUAACUAUAACGGUCCUAAGGUAGCGAAAUUCCUUGUCGGGUAAGUUCCGACCUGCACGAAUGGCGUAACGAUGGCCACACUGUCUCCUCCUGAGACUCAGCGAAGUUGAAAUGGUUGUGAAGAUGCAAUCUCCCCGCGGUUAGACGGAAAGACCCCAUGAACCUUUACUGUAGCUUUGCAUUGGACUUUGAACAAAUCUGUGUAGGAUAGGUGGGAGGCUGUGAAACCGGGACGCUAGUCCGGGUGGAGCCAACCUUGAAAUACCACCCUGGUUUGUUUGAGGUUCUAACCACGGCCCGUGAAUCCGGGUCUGGGACCGUGCAUGGUAGGCAGUUUGACUGGGGCGGUCUCCUCCUAAAGUGUAACGGAGGAGUACGAAGGUACGCUAGGUACGGUCGGACAUCGUGCUGUUAGUGCAAUGGCAAAAGCGUGCUUGACUGCGAGACUCACACGUCGAGCAGGUACGAAAGUAGGUCAUAGUGAUCCGGUGGUUCUGUAUGGAAGGGCCAUCGCUCAACGGAUAAAAGGUACUCUGGGGAUAACAGGCUAAUACCGCCCAAGAGUUCAUAUCGACGGCGGUGUUUGGCACCUCGAUGUCGGCUCAUCACAUCCUGGGGCUGUAGUCGGUCCCAAGGGUAUGGCUGUUCGCCAUUUAAAGUGGUACGUGAGCUGGGUUUAAAACGUCGUGAGACAGUUUGGUCCCUAUCUGCCGUGGGCGCUGGAAAUUUGAAGGGGGCUGCUCCUAGUACGAGAGGACCGGAGUGGACGAACCUCUGGUGUACCGGUUAUGACGCCAGUCGUAUUGCCGGGUAGCUAAGUUCGGAAGAGAUAAACGCUGAAAGCAUCUAAGCGUGAAACUCGCCUUGAGAUGAGAUUUCCCCGGGGACUUGAUCCCCCUGAAGGGUCGUGGUAGACCACCACGUUGAUAGGCUGGAUGUGGAAGCGCAGCAAUGCGUUAAGCUAACCAGUACUAAUUGCCCGUGAGGCUUGAUC